ensembl:lncRNA
CACGUGUUCAUCUAUCCACAGGCAAAGGUGAGCAGAGCAGAUUAUCAACAGAGAGCUAUCUGAGUCCCUUUUGAAAGCUAAAGCAUACAAGCCGUAGUCAUUUGGAGAUUUUGCUGCCUGAGAUUCCAACACCUGAUGGGAUGCUUGAGGUGUCCGAUAAGAUGACUGUUUUUGGGCAGUCAGAAAAAUAAGUUGUUGAGACCUGAAGUGAAGGGAAUUCAGCCCACUGGAAUAACCGCAGUCUGUCAGGCCUCAUCAGACACGUCCUACAUUUAAAUGAUGUGGGCGCCUGAGACCUCCGAAACGUUUCAGCGCUUUAUGAUGGAACCCAGUCACCUUUGACUUUCACAAUCAACUCCCAUUUCUGCUCAGUAAAACAUGCGGGUCCCCUGAGGAUGUCCAUGAGGUCUAACCAUAUUGUGUCCCUUGGGUAAUGUUAGUCUAAUGAGGUCAUGUUUAUUCGCAUAUUGAUUGAUUAAAUGUAAGGACUCAGUAAUCAUGAAUUUCACAUCACUGUUCAUUGUCUCCAGUUAAUGACGCUAAUUCAAACCAGUUGUGAAGACAAAGAAAGAUCCACACAUGAAGGAAUGUAUUUAUUCUGUCCAUAAGCAUUACAACAGGCACACAUCUGGUUCAUAUCAAACAGAAAUAAACUUUACACCCAAAUGUUAUGCAAAUUAUGAUUGCCAGAAAAAAGUCCAAAGAAAAUGCAAAUAGAUAUUCCUAAUUAUUUUGCUAUUUAAAUGAUUAGAUUGAAAUAAAUAGUUGGUACUAAACCGUUGCAGACUAAGAGUGCACGAUACAAUUAGAAUAUCAAACGGCAAAACAGGGAUUCAAAUUCCGACACAAUGUCACGGCCGUCGCCUUCUGAUACCGACGCAAACGGCAACCUUUAGCACAUCUGUACAAGACACAUUAGGAUUCCAUGUAGCUGGCCUGGAAAUCUAGACGCUUAGAGCAAGUACUCAGAACAAAAUCCGAGAAAAAGGAUGGCCAUGCAUGGCUUUUACAAGGGAGGACAAUGUUCAUGUCCUUUCUAUUUGUCUUUCUAGGUAUCUGUGCAAUUUUUCCCAUUUUUGUGGCCUUAAUCUAAAAAUGCUAACGAAGUGUUGAAUGUCAAAUGUGUCCAAGUUUGACACGCAGUGCAUCACAAAAAGUUGAUGCACUGCGAAAGUGUGGAACUAGUAUGGGUUGGAUUUAAAGAGCAAGAAAGUUGCAUGCUCCUGAUCUCACCAGAAUUUUUCUUUUUGCAAAAUUGCACAUUGACAUCAGCGAGGAAUAUGCGAUAUCUAACCAUCAAUUCUAAUAAGCGACGCAAUUAUGUAGGUGACCUUCCACACAGACAAACACACACACACACACCCGAUGAAGAUGAAGUCAAACUUACCGGGUAUGAAAGAUGGUUCAUUGCUAAACAAUAUGCCAACCACUGAAGGAAAUGUUUUGUUCCCAAAAAAAAAAGACCUCAACGGAUGCAUUCACAGCCACCGGUAAUAUCUCUCUUUUUUUUAAAUUUAAAGUGAGUUUUAUACUGGUUAGAAGACUCCUCUGUGCUGAUUAGAGUAUAAUAGCUUGCUGAAUGGCAUCAUUUUAUGGCUGAGUUGUUUCAGAUGAGAUAGAGAAUCGUUGUUAUCUGGGACGCUUUUAAAAAUCAAUUCCAAAUCUUUUAUUAGGCAUUUUGUGCCAUGUUUUCAUUGAGAUUUGAUUUGAAUAAUACAUGUUACACGGCUUACAGCGGUAAAGUGUAAUGGACAUUUAUUAUUUGUAUGCUAAUUAUUAAGUAUUCAUUUUUUGAACAGUUUCAAUCACUUAUAAAGCCAAAGGUAUGUUUAAUUAUUGAAUCAUUAAAUAUAGAGUAAAACAACCACUGUGUACUGUAUGUAAAUGUAUUCAACACAGUAUGAUUUAUAAAGGAAACUUCUCUUGCACUUUAUAUUCUAUUACUUUAUAAGGAAAUUCAAAAGUUGCUUAUAAAGAUGAGUAUAAUAAAAGAUUGGAAGUACGUUUUUCACCUGCUGCAAAUUCUUUAUCCGUGGUUUUAGUCAUGUUUACCAUCAUUGUGUACUUUUUUAAUAUCCUGUAAUGGCUGUUCUUUUUACCGCCUGUUGCCUGGAUGUGGCAUAUCGACAAAAUUAAAUAUUGUGUUUCCCUACAAAUGCUCAUAGAUGAUACAACUUGGCUAACAAAAACUGAGUAGCCGGUCCAGCACCAGCACACCUCGCACAACUGUCAAAGAAUUACCUAUGAAAUAAACAACAAUCUCAGUCUAUAAAAUAAUGAAAAAUGUGAAGGCAAAAUAAAACCUUGAUCAAAAGAGCGAGCCUCCCA